GAGGGUACAGCUCAGUGGUAGAGUGUAUGCUUAGCAUGCACGAGAUCAUGGGUUCAAUCCCCAGUACCUCCA
rnacentral:tRNA from 1 species